AGACAGCAGUCGCCACGGUAAAACGGAGGAUCCAAGCGUUAUCCGGAAUCAUUGGGUUUAAAGGGUCCGUAGGCGGUCUUGUAAGUCAGUGGUGAAAGCCCAUCGCUCAACGGUGGAACGGCCAUUGAUACUGCAGGACUUGAAUUAUUGGGAAGUAACUAGAAUAUGUAGUGUAGCGGUGAAAUGCUUAGAGAUUACAUGGAAUACCAAUUGCGAAGGCAGGUUACUACCAAUUGAUUGACGCUGAUGGACGAAAGCGUGGGUAGCGAACAGGAUUAGAUACCCCGGUAGUCCCUGUCUCUUAUAC
rnacentral:rRNA from 1 species